rnacentral:rRNA from 1 species
UACGUAGGGUGCAAGCGUUGUCCGGAAUUAUUGGGCGUAAAGGGCUCGUAGGCGGCGUGUCGCGUCGGGAGUGAAAACUCAGGGCUUAACCCUGAGCCUGCUUCCGAUACGGGCAGACUAGAGGUAUGCAGGGGAGAAUGGAAUUCCUGGUGUAGCGGUGAAAUGCGCAGAUAUCAGGAGGAACACCAGUGGCGAAGGCGGUUCUCUGGGCAUUACCUGACGCUGAGGAGCGAAAGUGUGGGGAGCGAACAGG